UCUAUCUAUCUAUCUAUCUGUCUGUCUUUCUUUCUCUCGCUCUCCCUCUCUCUCUUUCUCACUGGUUCAUUUGAGGGAGGAGGAAGUCUAGUAAGUCAAAUCUUUUGUUUAUUUUUUUUCCAUUUUUAAUUCUUAAAUUAACGUUUUCACUUCAUUACACACAUACUAAAAAAAGAAAAAAAAUAUUUCCAGUGUGUUUACAUUUGUUUCAAAAAUUACUAUGUCAGGAGGUGUGAAUUGAAUUGAACGAUGACAUUUGUAGUAGUAGUAGUAGCAGUAGUAGCAGUAGCAGCAGCAAUAGUGGUAGCUGAUGAGGAUAAGUGGACAAGUUUGUUGGACUAUCUUAUUUUGCCAUACCAUUCCAAAUACAUACAAACAUACACAUGUGUAUCUGAAUAAUAUAUAUAUAUAUAUAUAUAUAUAUAUAUAUAUAUAUAUAUAUAUAUUAUAUAUUUGCUAUUCAACCAUUCCUUAUUUUCCAGCAUUUAUUCCAUUCAUAUACUUUUCUAAUAUACAGAGAUCCUUCUUGUAAAAUCCAAACACAAACAUACAUGGUAGUGCCCCUGCAUGGCCACAGUCUUAUGACAGAAACAAGUAAAAGAUAAAAGAUAUGUUUCAGUCUGUAUGUGUGUGUGCAUUUCAUACACACACACACACACUCAUGGAUGUAUACUGUCAAGUCUGUAGCAGGAUGAGAAGGAAGAUGAAGAGAAAUUAUUGCACAGAUAUUGGCCAUUUUAUGAAAAUUCUCCAGUCAUAUACCUGUCUACAAUACCCUAAUUAGUUUGUAGGUGUGAUAGGUUUCACUGUACAAUUUCAGUCCAAGAUUGCAGUUUCUAACAGCCCUGUCUUCCUUUAUCUUAAAAAAAAUCAUCUAGAUCCUACUGUUCAUAAAAUUUAUGAACUAUCAUUAAUUUUUUCUAAAAUGUAAUUUUAAUGUUUAUUUUUUUUUUUUUAGUGGGUUUAAAAUUUUUUAUAUUCAUAUAUCUCUAUGCUCUAUUAGUAAUUGAGAUGGUGAAGUUUAUGUCACUUUUAAUGGCCCCUUUUUAGAAAUAUAUAUGUGUGUGUGUAUGUAUGUAGCUACAUCUGUGUGUAUGUAUACAAGAAAUAAAAAAUGAAAAUAAAAA